rnacentral:tRNA from 1 species
CAGGGUGUAGCUACAACACAAAGCAUUCAGCUUACACCUGAAAGAUAUCUGCUACCUACCAGAUCACCCUGA